UUAUAUCUAUCGUAUUAAUUCCAUCGAGAAUACGGUUUUAUUUAUUGAAAGUCGAAGUUCUAUUCAGUGGCACCUACGCGCGUCGAUGCGAUGAUUGACAACGAUUAACGAUAGAACGAGUUUCGUUACGGAUUUCCAAAAAGAGAUGUCGAACGGGGCCGGUAUUUCGAAAUGCGGAAAUUUAUGCCUGGACGGCUCUUUACAGAAUCGGGCGUCACCCGCGUUCCGAUAUUUCACGUCGUCGGUAAUAUCCGUAUCGCGUAUUACGUCCUACACAAUAUUCCUGCCGAUACGUCACGGAUAACAAUUUUCUAGACCAGGACGCUGUCACCGGUGUUGGUCGCGAUUCAGUACAUAAAUCGACGAUGCACCGCGGCGCUGGCCAAGUUUCUCUUCCAAUCUCGGAUCAAAUUUCUUGAGAGCGUUUCCACCGUACGAGAUCGUAAAUGGCAAACGACGCUCUGUUAUCUGGCUUAUGUCCUCGUGUUUUACCUGAUAUUGUUUCAUUUCACGUCAUCCGCUCUUAUCCGGUGCCCAUAGCAGCAUCGAUGCGUCGCGGCACAGAUGACUAUCUCGAACUGCAAGCCGCGUUUCGAACGUUCCACGAAACAAUCUCCGAAUCGAGAUUCAUUUUAGGGGCCGAAAGCCAUUCGGCUGGUUUUUUACGACCGGACUGCAGAUGCUGGUCGAAAGACAUCUGCAGUACGAAAACUAUACUAGCUGGGACUGAAACUAUUGUGUUUCGCCGUUCUACGUAUAUCAUAUAGGCUUGUGUCAUGGCAUGCGAAAGUUCGGGAAGAGCGGGUCGAGUUCAACGAGGCUGCUCGCAGCGAAAUUUUCACGCAUCGAAUCGUUCGCGAAUCAACAUAGCGAGACGUCGUCACCACUUUCGUUCCUUUAUAUUCGAACGCGCUACGACAUUUUGAGAAAUUACGAUUAAAUCCGAUAAACACAGACUGUUUCAAAAUCGAUAAUCAGCAUAGGAAUUUUUGCCCUUGGUCGGUGCUACAGUUACUUCCUUUGAAACAACCUGUACAAAUGGGAUAUCGAGAAACAAGAAUGAAUCGAUACUGACUUGCCCGGUUCUACCAAAAACUUUUCACCGUGCAAGGCAUGGUAAAUGGCUGCGAUGCUCCAUGCAAUGCCGAUCCCCAGGAAGACGUUCACCGCGUUACUUCCGGUCACGUUGCCCACGCUCGCAUCGGCGUACUUGUCCUGGCAGGCGGCCACCUUGCUCGCGAACGUGUCUGCAAUAAAGUUAUACGCUUAGAUUUUU